GACGUAGGUGGCGAACGUUAUCCGGAAUUAUUGGGCGUAAAGGGUGCGUAGGCGGCAUGAUAAGUUAUUGGCGGCAAAUCGAGGCUCAACCUCGUGGAAACUGAUAAUACUGUCUUGCUUGAGUGCAGAAGAGGUUAACGGAACUCCAUGUGGAGCGGUAAAAUGUGUAGAUAUAUGGAAGAACAUCAAUAACGGCGAAGGCAGUUAACUAGUCUGUUACUGACGUUGAGGCACGAAAGCGUGGGGAGCAAAACGG
rnacentral:rRNA from 1 species